rnacentral:rRNA from 1 species
UGGGGAAUAUUGGACAAUGGGCGAAAGCCUGAUCCAGCCAUGCCGCGUGUGUGAAGAAGGUCUUCGGAUUGUAAAGCACUUUAAGUUGGGAGGAAGGGCAGUAAGCGAAUACCUUGCUGUUUUGACGUUACCGCCAGAAUAAGCACCGGCUAACUCUGUGCCAGCAGCCGCGGUAAUACAGAGGGUGCAAGCGUUAAUCGGAAUUACUGGGCGUAAAGCGCGCGCAGGUGGUUCGUUAAGUUGAAUGUGAAAGCCCCGGGCUCAACCUGGGAACUGCAUCCAAAACUGGCGAGCUAGAGUAGGGCAGAGGGUGGUGGAAUUUCCUGUGUAGCGGUGAAAUGCGUAGAUAUAGGAAGGAACACCAGUGGCGAAGGCGACCACCUGGGCUCAUACUGACACUGAGGUGCGAAAGCGUGGGGAGCAAACAGG